ACAUUGGGAAAGGUGCCGAAGACAUGAACUUUGGUCUUCUCUGCAAUCCCUCUGGAGCAUUCAGUGACAACGUCGACUUUGAAGUUGCACUGACCUGGCCAGCCCUGCCACUUACCAGGUUGGCAUCUGGCAUCUUUCUUGACAUACGUAGCAGUUGCUUUUUGACAGCUUGCUUCUGGAGUGAAUGAAUAAAUUAAUAAAUUUAUUCAUUUGAUAUUCAGUGACAUGUGAUAUUCAGUGAUCCAUUUUGCAGAUAACACUAACAAAGUUGACCUUAGAAUUGGAGUGCCCGGGUUAGAACCUUGCUGGUACCACCUGCUUACUGCAUGCUUCUGAUGUGAGUUCAGGAGAAGCCACUGGCAAGGACAGCAAAGAACAGGAGAACACUCUAGCUUCCCUGAUAGCAUUCAAGGUGCUGUCCAAACUGACUGUGAUGGCACCCUCCAGACAGACAGCGAUGCCACAUGUUCAAGAUGGCAGAAUCACUAACAGCUUCAAUUCCUGAAUGACUGCAGAGCAAAAUUUCUUACCCGCAACAUACACUCUAUUUUCAGCCUCCCUGGACUGUUACAUAAUGAUACAUAAAAAUAUUUCUUGUGUUGAGGCAUCCCAAAUUUGAUCUAUUUGUCAUCACAGUUUAUCCUACGAAUAUAUUUCUGAUCCAAAUAAUGCUAGAUUCAUGAGAGUUUAUAGUCCAGAGAUUUUUUUUUUUUUUUUUUUUUGAGACAGAAUCUCACUGUCUGCCAGGCUGGGGUGCAGUGGCAUAAUCUUAGCUCACUGCAACCUCCGCCUCCUGGGCUCAAGUGAUCCUCCCUCCUUAGCCUCCAUGAAUAGCUGGGACCACAGGUGUGCACCACCCCACCCAGCUAAUUAUUUUGUAUUUUUUGCAGAGACGGGGUUUCACCACAUUGCCCAAGCUGGUCUCAAACUCCUAGACUUAAGGGAUCUUCCCGCCUUGGCCUCCCAAAAUGCUGAAAUUACAUGUGUUAGCCAUAGUAAUAGUUCCUAGCCAUAGUCCAGAGAUAUUUUAAAAACUUUAGUGUGAGUUAUUUCUCUUUGCUAUAAUUCUCUCAUGCAUUUUGAAAACCUUUUCUGCCAUACAGUGGUUUUUGGGAAGUCCUUUUGGACAGACAUAUCACAGGAUGGAGAAACUAAAAAGAGAGAGAAUGCAUUAAAGAAAAAAUAGUACUUCAUAUUUCAGAAAUUACAAAAGGUUGUCAUGCCCCACAGCAUGGUGGGCAGUCAUUUGUAACCCACAGAACAUUGAGUUUCUAAAAUUUGAGUGUUUUUUAACUUACGAAGGCCAACUUUACUGAUGAAGUGGUUACCCCAAAUAUGUGAAAUCCAUAUUUCAAGCACAAUAGCAGGAAAUCGGAAAUGGGCUCUUGAGUUUCUGCUUUCAAGUGACCCUCAGAAAUGCCCCCAUUCACUGCAGAGGUUCUGUUUCUCCUUGUUUUGUUCCGACUUUAUGGCAGAACUAGGUUAAUGAGUUAAUUACUAUGAGUUAUCACUUGGAUUUGAAGAACCAUCAUUUCUAGGCUUUGCUGCUCAGAGUGGGUUUGCCCUCAGGGGAAGCUAUCUAACCAGAGCCUAACCCACUAGGGUUUUAUCAGAACCUAACUGGCCUGAGGAAAAGAAAUAUUCAACUCCAGCAAGCUCCAGCCUUCCAAACGGAGGAGGAGAAAACCCAAAUCCAGCCCACUUCAGCUAUCUUGUCCCACAUAAAGGGGGAGUGGAAGAAACGUGAGAAGCAGGCAUGAAGUUCACAGUCCGGAGGUACAGACACAUCAGAGUUCAGUAUCUGAUGAAUUAGAUGCAAAAUCCUCAACAAAGUAUUAGCAAAUUGAAUUCAACAAUGUAUGAAAAUUAUUACAUGCCAUGACUAAUUGGAAUUUAUCUCAGGUAUACAAGCCAUGCUGAACAUCUGAAAAUCAAUUCAUGUGAUCCAUCACAUUAGCAGAUUCAAGAAAAAAAAAACCACAUUAUCAUAUCAGUAGAUGUAGAAAAAAAAAAUUAACAAAAUCCAGCACGCAUUCACAAUGAAAAUGCUCAGUAAAUUAGAAAUAGAAGGUAACUUCCUCAACUUGACAAGGAAUAUCUCUAAAAACCUACAACUAAAAUCAUACUUAAUGGUAAAAAACUAGAAGCCUUCCCAGUAAGAGUAAGAACAAGGCAAAGAUGUAUGCUCUCACCACUCCUUUUCAACAUCAUAUUGGAAGUCCUAGCUAGUGCAAUAAGCAAAAAAAAAAAAAAAA
rnacentral:lncRNA from 1 species